rnacentral:lncRNA from 10 species
CGGGCUACAGGGUUGCCUGAGGUGUGGGUCCCAGGAUGGAGGAGCCCCAGGCCGGCGGUGAGGGUGCGGGUUGACGGGGUGCGGAGGGUGCGUUGGUGGAAGGAGAAAGGGGCGUCCGAGAGGGUUCGGGCGGAAAAGGAGGCGUACCUGCAAGCAGGACUUGCGAAGAGCGUGCAUUCCCAGUGGGCGAACGGGAAUUCGAACGGAGAGAGGGUUAUCUUGUGGGGGGCUACCCGUGGAGAGCAAGGCGCCCCCAGGGGUUGGAUCGGUGAAAUUGAGGUCGCCCCUGGGGAACAGGUGGGCAGAAAGGAGAAACCAGGUUGAGGGGACUGGAGUGCUCACGAGGUUAAGACCAAUGGACCGAUAGGCGCGCCCUGCAAGAUUGGACCGGCAAGGAGGUGUCAGUCGACCCCAUUUCCCCUUCUGCUGCAGAUGCUGCUCGGUUCUCUUGUCCCCCCAACUUUACCGCGAAGCCCCCAGCCUCAGAGUCCCCUCGUUUCUCCUUGGAGGCGCUGACGGGUCCAGAUACGGAGCUGUGGCUUAUUCAGGCCCCUGCAGACUUUGCCCCAGAAUGCUUCAAUGGGCGGCAUGUGCCUCUCUCUGGCUCCCAGAUCGUCAAGGGCAAAUUGGCAGGCAAGCGGCACCGCUAUCGAGUCCUCAGCAGCUGUCCCCAAGCUGGAGAAGCGACCCUGCUGGCCCCCUCAACGGAGGCAGGAGGUGGACUCACCUGUGCCUCAGCCCCCCAGGGCACCCUAAGGAUCCUUGAGGGUCCCCAGCAAUCCCUGUCAGGGAGCCCUCUGCAGCCCAUCCCAGCAAGUCCCCCACCACAGAUCCCUCCUGGCCUGAGGCCUCGGUUCUGUGCCUUUGGGGGCAACCCACCAGUCACAGGGCCUAGGUCAGCCUUGGCCCCCAACCUGCUCACCUCAGGGAAGAAGAAAAAGGAGAUGCAGGUGACAGAGGCCCCAGUCACUCAGGAGGCAGUGAAUGGGCACGGGGCCCUGGAGGUGGACAUGGCUUUGGGGUCGCCAGAAAUGGAUGUGCGGAAGAAGAAGAAGAAAAAA